rnacentral:rRNA from 1 species
AAAGUUCCGGCGGCUAAAGAUGGGCAUGCGUGGCAUUAGUUAGUUGGUGAGGUAACGGCUCACCAAGGCAAUGAUGCCUAUGGGUCCUGAGAGGGUUACCCCCACAGUGGUACUGAGACACGGACCAGACUCCUACGGGAGGCAGCAGUAAGGAAUAUUGGGCAAUAGGCGCAAGCCUGACCCAGCCAUGCCGCGUGCAUGAUGACGGCCCUAUGGGUUGUAAACUGCUUUUGUAUGGGAAAAAAUUCCCGCACGUGUGCGGGACUGAUUGUACCAUACGAAUAAGCAUCGGGUAACUCCGUGCCAGCAGCCGCGGUAAUACGGAGGAUGCAAGCGUCAUCCGGAUUUAUUGGGUUUAAAGGGUGCGCAGGCGGAUUAGUAAGUCAGUGGUGAAAGCUCCCGGCUCAACCGGGAAAAUGCCAUUGAUACUGUGAAUCUUGAGUACAGUCGAGGUUGGCGGAAUGUAUCAUGUAGCGGCGAAAUGCAUAGAUAUGAUACAGAACACCGAUAGCGAAGGCAGGUUACCAAAGUGUAACCGACGCUCAUGCACGAAAGCGUGGAGAGCAAACAGGAUUAGAUAGCCUGGUAGUCCACGCUGUAAACUAUGAUCACUCGCUGUU